GCACGCGUAGCUCAGCUGGAUAGAGUACUUGGCUACGAACCAGGCGGUCGGAGGUUCGAAUCCUCCCGCGUGCACCA
rnacentral:tRNA from 4 species